rnacentral:rRNA from 1 species
UACGUAGGGUGCGAGCGUUGUCCGGAAUUAUUGGCCGUAAAGAGCUCGUAGGCGGUGUGUCGCGUCGGUCGUGAAAACUUGGGGCUUAACUCUGAGCUUGCGGUCGAUACGGGCAUCACUGGAGUUCGGCAGGGGAGACUGGAAUUCCUGGUGUAGCGGUGAAAUGCGCAGAUAUCAGGAGGAACACCGGUGGCGAAGGCGGGUCUCUGGGCCGAUACUGACGCUGAGGAGCGAAAGCGUGGGGAGCGAACAGG